UCUGUUGAUCAUGGCUCAGAUUGAACGCUGGCGGCAUGCCUUACACAUGUAGGCGAACGGUAGAGGAGCAAUCCUCGAGAGUGGCGAACGGGUGAGUAAUCGGAACGUGCCCAGUCGUGGGGGAUAACUACUCGAGUAGUGGCUAAUACCGCAUACGACCUGAGGGUGAAAGCGCUGACUCGCAAGAGCCUCGCGCGAUUGGAGCGGCCGAUGUCAGAUUAGGCAUUGGUGGGGUAAAAGCUCACCAAGCCGACGAUCUGUAGCUGGUCUGAGAGGACGACCAGCCACACUGGGACUGAGACACGGCCCAGACUCCUACGGGAGGCAGCAGUGGGGAAUUUUGGACAAUGGGCGCCUGAUCCAGCCAUGCCGCGUGCGGGAGGCCUUCGGGUUGUAAACCGCUUAUUGGUCAGGGAAGAAAUCUUCUGGGUUAAUACCUCGGGAGGAUGACGGUACCUGAAGAAUAAGCACCGGCUAUAACUACGUGCCAAGCAGCCGCGGUCUGACGUAGGGUGCUAAUCGGAAUUACUGGGCGUAAAGCGUGCGCAGGCGGUUAUAUGGGACAGAUGUGAAAUCCUCCGGGCUCAACGCUGGGAACUCUGCAUUAUGUUGACUGUAUAGCUCGGAGUGAUCGACAGAGGCGGAGAUGGAUGUAGCAGUGAAAUGCGUAAGAUAUGCGGAGGCAACACCGAUGGUGAAGGCAAUCCGCCUGGGCCUGCCACUGACGCUCAUGACACGAAAGCGUGGUGGCAGCAAGACAGGACUGGAUACCCUGCGUAGUACCACGCUCCUACGAUGUCAACUGCGUUGUUGGAGAGCUAUCUUGCUCAGUAACGUGAGCUAACGCGUGAAGUUGACCGCCUGCUAGUACGGCGCGCAAGGUUGAAAUACUCAACUAAUUGACGACCUCCUUCAAGCGGUGGAUGAUGUGGUAUUAAUUCGAUGCAACGCGCUCGGACCUUACCUACCGCUAUGACAUCGCCGAGCGUAUCCUGAGAUUGGAGUGCUCCUCCUCGCCUGGACACAGGUGCUGCAUGGCCGUCGUCAGCUCGUGUCGUGAGAUGUUGGGUUAAGUCGUCCGCAACGAGCGCAACCCUUGUCAUUAGUUGCUACGAAAGGGCACUCUAAUGAGACUGCCGGUGACAAACCGGUCUUGGUGGGGAUGACGUCAGGUCCUCAUGGCCCUUAUGGGUAUACACACGUCAUACAAGACCCGGUACAGAGGGCUGCCAACCCGCGAGCAGGAGCCAAUCCCAGAAGGUCGUAGUCCGGAUCGCAGUCUGCAACUCGACUGCGUGAAGUCGGAAUCGCUAGUAAUCGCGGAUCAGCUUGCCGCGGUGAAUACACCCCGGGUCUCUGGUACACACCGCCCGUCACACCAUGCCUCGGGUUCCGCCAGAAGUAGUAUAGCCUAACCGCACAGGAGGCGCGACUAUACCACGGCCGGUUCGUGACUGGGGUGGUCAACAACGGCAGUUCA
rnacentral:rRNA from 1 species